UUUCUGCCCGGCCCACUAACAAAAGAACCCAAUACCCACAAACCCAAUAACCCACCUAAACACUAACCCAUACCAGCAGACCCAAUUACAAUGCCCCCAUCACCUACCCUCUGCCACCGCCACCAACUCCGCCGUUCACCUGCUUUCUGCCACCGUCCCAUCACCCCACUUGCCUGCAAAGAAGAAAAUCACGCAAAGAAGGACAAAACAGUAGUAGAGACAAUAGAAAAAUUGUAAAAUGGCUAUUUAAAAG
rnacentral:lncRNA from 1 species